UGGGGAAUAUUGCACAAUGGAGGGAACUCUGAUGCAGCGACGUCGCGUGUGUGAUGAAGGAAUUCGUUUCGUAAAACUCUGUUCUAUGGGAAGAAAAGGACUGUACCAUAGGAGACAGCUCCGGCUAAAUACGUGCCAGCAGCCGCGGUAAUACGUAUGGAGCGAGCGUUGUCCGGAAUUAUUGGGCGUAAAGGGUGCGCAGGCGGCUUUACAAGUUGGAUGUGAAAUAUUGUGGCUCAACCACAAACGUGCAUCCAACACUGCAAAGCUUGAGUUAAGGAGAGGUAAGUGGAAUUCCUGGUGUAGCGGAGGAAGGCGUAGAUAUCAGGAAGAAUACCGGUGGCGAAGGCGACUUACUGGACUUAAACUGACGCUCAGGCACGAAAGCGUGGAGAGCAAACAGG
rnacentral:rRNA from 1 species